ACUCGGUGUACCACCGCGUCAACGAGCUCUUCCACUCGCUGACGCUGGGCAGCGAGCAGCGCUCCGAGAAGAAGGCGCCGCGCCGCAGGAAGGAGGGCGAGAAGCAGAAGCUGAAGCGCGCGGCGCCGGCGGCACAGGCUCCGCCGCCACCGCCGCCGCCGCCGCCGCCACCACCGCCCCCGCCGCCGCCACCAGCGCCGACGUCCAGCAAAAGUUUACCGAGGACCCAAGCUUCGACGAAAUCCGAGAAUAGUUACACGGUUUCCGAGCCCAGCCCCGCCGAGCAAACGGAUGCGUCUUCACGCUCCGAUGACAGCCAUGGAAAACACGAAGAAGACCUGUACGGCAAGCUAGUCG